rnacentral:rRNA from 1 species
UACGGAGGGGGUUAGCGUUGUUCGGAAUUACUGGGCGUAAAGCGCGCGUAGGCGGGUUGUUAAGUUAGAGGUGAAAUCCCGGGGCUCAACCCCGGAACUGCCUUUAAUACUGGCAACCUAGAGUUCGAGAGAGGUGAGUGGAAUUCCGAGUGUAGAGGUGAAAUUCGUAGAUAUUCGGAGGAACACCAGUGGCGAAGGCGGCUCACUGGCUCGAUACUGACGCUGAGGUGCGAAAGUGUGGGGAGCAAACAGGAUUAGAUACCCUGGUAGUCCACACCGUAAACGAUGGAUACUAGCUGUCCGAGACCUUGAGUCUUGGGCGGCCAAGCGAAAGUGAUAAGUAUCCCACCUGGGGAGUACGUUCGCAAGAAUGAAACUCAAAGGAAUUGACGGGGGCCCGCACAAGCGGUGGAGCAUGUGGUUUAAUUCGAUGAUACGCGAGGAACCUUACCAGGGCUUAAAUGCAUAUUGACAGGUCUAGAGAUAGAUUUUCCUUCGGGCAAUUUGCAAGGUGCUGCAUGGUU